AUACGGAGGAUGCGAGCGUUAUCCGGAUUUAUUGGGUUUAAAGGGUGCGUAGGCUGUGCGUUAAGUCAGGGGUGAAAUGCCGUCGCUCAACGACGGAGCUGCCCUUGAUACUGGCGUGCUGGAGUACGGAUGCCGCUGGAGGAAUGAGUGGUGUAGCGGUGAAAUGCUUAGAUAUCACUCAGAACACCGAUUGCGAAGGCAUCUGACGAAUCCGUCACUGACGCUGAGGCACGAAAGCGUGGGGAUAGAACAGGAUUAGAUACCCUGGUAUUCCACGCCGUAAACGAUGAUGACUAACCGUCGGCGAUAGACAGCCGGUGGCCAAGCGAAAGCGAUAAGUCAUCCACCUGGGGAGUACGUCGGCAACGAUGAAACUCAAAGGAAUUGACGGGG
rnacentral:rRNA from 1 species